GCCGAAAUCGCUUAGUCGGUUAAAGCGAGGGUCUCAUACUCAGUAUGAACGUCUAGCGACGUGCAAUCCCUAGCCCCCAGUUCGAUUCUGGGUUUUGGCA